AGAGUUUGAUCCUGGCUACAGAACGAACGCUGGCGGCAUGCCUAACACAUGCAAGUCGAACGGGAUCCGGACUUCGGUCCGGUGAGAGAGGCGGACGGGUGAGUAACACGUGGGAACCUGCCUUUGGUUCGGGAUAACCGCGGGAAACUGCGGCUAAUACCGAAUGCCCUCGAGAGAGGAAAGAUUUAUCGCCAGAAGAGGAGCCCGCGUCCGAUUAGGUAGUUGGUGGGGUAAAGGCCUACCAAGCCGACGAUCGGUAGCUGGUCUGAGAGGAUGAUCAGCCACACUGGGACUGAGAUACGGCCCAGACUCCUACGGGAGGCAGCAGUGGGGAAUAUUGGACAAUGGGGGCAACCCUGAUCCAGCAAUGCCGCGUGAGUGAUGAAGGCCUUAGGGUUGUAAAGCUCUUUUGCCAGGGAAGAUGAUGACUGUACCUGGAGAAUAAGCCCCGGCUAACUUCGUG
rnacentral:rRNA from 1 species